AUGAACGCUAGCUACAGGCUUAACACAUGCAAGUCGAGGGGCAGCAUGGUCUUAGCUUGCUAAGGCCGAUGGCGACCGGCGCACGGGUGAGUAACACGUAUCCAACCUGCCGUCUACUCUUGGACAGCCUUCUGAAAGGAAGAUUAAUACAAGAUGGCAUCAUGAGUCCGCAUGUUCACAUGAUUAAAGGUAUUCCGGUAGACGAUGGGGAUGCGUUCCAUUAGAUAGUAGGCGGGGUAACGGCCCACCUAGUCUUCGAUGGAUAGGGGUUCUGAGAGGAAGGUCCCCCACAUUGGAACUGAGACACGGUCCAAACUCCUACGGGAGGCAGCAGUGAGGAAUAUUGGUCAAUGGGCGAGAGCCUGAACCAGCCAAGUAGCGUGAAGGAUGACUGCCCUAUGGGUUGUAAACUUCUUUUAUAAAGGAAUAAAGUCGGGUAUGGAUACCCGUUUGCAUGUACUUUAUGAAUAAGGAUCGGCUAACUCCGUGCCAGCAGCCGCGGUAAUACGGAGGAUCCGAGCGUUAUCCGGAUUUAUUGGGUUUAAAGGGAGCGUAGAUGGAUGUUUAAGUCAGUUGUGAAAGUUUGCGGCUCAACCGUAAAAUUGCAGUUGAUACUGGAUAUCUUGAGUGCAGUUGAGGCAGGCGGAAUUCGUGGUGUAGCGGUGAAAUGCUUAGAUAUCACGAAGAACUCCGAUUGCGAAGGCAGCCUGCUAAGCUGCAACUGACAUUGAGGCUCGAAAGUGUGGGUAUCAAACAGGAUUAGAUACCCUGGUAGUCCACACGGUAAACGAUGAAUACUCGCUGUUUGCGAUAUACUGCAAGCGGCCAAGCGAAAGCGUUAAGUAUUCCACCUGGGGAGUACGCCGGCAACGGUGAAACUCAAAGGAAUUGACGGGGGCCCGCACAAGCGGAGGAACAUGUGGUUUAAUUCGAUGAUACGCGAGGAACCUUACCCGGGCUUAAAUUGCAGAUGAAUUACGGUGAAAGCCGUAAGCCGCAAGGCAUCUGUGAAGGUGCUGCAUGGUUGUCGUCAGCUCGUGCCGUGAGGUGUCGGCUUAAGUGCCAUAACGAGCGCAACCCUUGUUGUCAGUUACUAACAGGUUCUGCUGAGGACUCUGACAAGACUGCCAUCGUAAGAUGUGAGGAAGGUGGGGAUGACGUCAAAUCAGCACGGCCCUUACGUCCGGGGCUACACACGUGUUACAAUGGGGGGUACAGAGGGCCGCUACCACGCGAGUGGAUGCCAAUCCCAAAAACCUCUCUCAGUUCGGACUGGAGUCUGCAACCCGACUCCACGAAGCUGGAUUCGCUAGUAAUCGCGCAUCAGCCACGGCGCGGUGAAUACGUUCCCGGGCCUUGUACACACCGCCCGUCAAGCCAUGGGAGCCGGGGGUACCUGAAGUGCGUAACCGCGAGGAGCGCCCUAGGGUAAAACUGGUGACUGGGGCU
rnacentral:rRNA from 1 species